GAAUAAUAAAUGCUCGUGCAUUCAGCUGGAGCCGUUAAUUUGCAUAUCGCCGCUGCUAGUUUUAUUUCCUUAGUGCCGUGUUAUCAUGAAGCACUUGAAGCCGGCAUAAACCAGAAUCAAAGACAUAAUGCUUUAACAGGUAUGUGCUGAGGACUAUUUUAUUCUCUUUAUCAUCUCUUUCUCUAAAUGCUUGAAAUAUCUGAACUUUUCAGUGUGUGUGUGUGUGUGUGUGUGUGUGUCAGCUAUCUGUGUGUGUCUUUAUAUAUGUGUGUUUGUGUGAUAGGUUUGUAUGUUCAAUAUGCGCCGAGCUUACAUCUACAGUAUCCAUCGCUCCGUUUUGCCAUGUAGCUUAAAUUGCAUAAACAUGAAGUGUCGUUGCAUUAUUGAUGAGACCAGAGCAACGUUUACUGUAUGUGCGCGCGCCGAUAGGGCGUGUAAUGCUCGUGUGCGUGCGUGAGUGCAUGUAGGCUAUGUGUGUGUUGUCAGUCUAACCAAAGACUUCUCUUUAUAGAAAUGCAGUGUGUGUUACUUUUAUGUCUUUAUCCUGCGUUUGAAUAUCUAGUGUUUUCAAUGGUGGUGAAUGUAUUGAUGUUUUGGCAGUAAUAACACUAAGUCGAGUCAAUGCAGAAAAGCAAAUAUGCUUUUACCUGCUAGACAACUCCUUCUGUGUGUGUCUGUGUGUGUGUUUGAGGGGUUGCUUUGGAGAACAGAGGCAACAUUUCCAGCCCUGCUUCUGUGUCUGUGUAACAAAAGGUUGUGCCUUUUAUAAUAUGACAGGCAGUGUUUUAUGGGAAAUCAGACUUGUGUGAUUUUGUGCCACCUACAGAUCAGCCGAAUGAUCUCAGAGCCUCCCUGAUCAAGUUACUUUCAUCCAGUCAGAGUCGAAUCUGCACUCCCUCCUGUUAUAAAUCUACUGCAUAUGAAAACCUGAAAUUACUGCAAUUCAUGGACACACUGUCAGCUGCUGACCAGUAGAUUGAUGCCGUGCGAGGCGUCACCUUGCCUGAGCUGUACACAGCUUUGUAAACUAUUCAUGAUGCUGAUAAUGUUGUGGAGAGGGAGGAGGAGGAGGAGGAGGAGGAGGAGAAUCUAGGAGAGGAUGAAGAGGAUUAUCCCCACCUCUAUGAAGUAACUUUCUUAUAUGCAAGGAAAUCGUUUGGAAAUAACCUUGACGACGAUGCAAAUGAUUUCUCUGACCAAUGAGCUCGCUUAAUCUGUUUUUUCCUCCUCGUUUUCGCCGUGACGUUCAAUCCCAUUUAAGCUUCACACAUCAACAAACGCAAUUAAACCUGCAUUCAAACGCCCCAUAUGUGUGCAUAUUAAUUAUUCUGCCCUCCAUCCACCCCACCACCACCACCCCUCAUUUUUCAUAGUGGUUGCCAUGACAACUAGGGGGUGGCAGUGCUGAUGUCAGAGAGAGAGCCUCCUCCAAGGACACUCAUGCAGGCGCCGGGUCAGGUGAUAUGCACAGCUGCUGGGCAUCGACUAAAACACCCAAGAACAAAAUGGCCGCCGUUUCUCUGUCAUACUUUUUUUCCUCUGUUUAAACAAAAGAGGAAGGGGCACCUGCAUGUGCUUGUGCUUGAUGAUAUGUGUGGGAAAUUCUCGGUGCGAGCUGAGUUGUCUGAGCCUUCCUCGCAGAUCAGAAUUUAGAAACCUUGCCUGGUGAUUACGCCGCAUCCUCACCAGCCUUUGUGUUCCAAUGUGUCCAUACAUCGUUUUCCUCAGGUUGGCAUGAGGGUUUUUUUCCCCCCUGCCUUUACCCCUCCCCUCCCCCUCCCUUCCAGACACUCAAAGCUCCCCCACCAUCUCUCCCCUCUCUCUCUCUCUCUCUCUCUCUCUGUGUGUCUCUAAUUGAGCUUUGUGUCUACCUCCAUCUCCAUUCAAAUCCAAGCUCAUUUGCAUACUGCCGCCGCAAGCCGGACAGCUCCCCAGCUGUACAGUACAGCACUAAAUGAGGAACACAGACCCACUUUACGUGACGUGAAUACUAAACAGCCAGGAGAGUCAUUUCCCCCCCUGUUUCCUGAAAAUACAGCUACCUGAGAGAGGAUGGAGGAUGGUAGUAUCAAAUCAGCGCAUUCAGACAGAGACAAGCUUAGUCUGAAAGGAGAUGCUGAGUUGAUUAUUUUUAAUAAAGUAAGACAUUGCAGGAGAUAUCACACGCGAUGAUUUGACAGAGAAACAGUCAUAUUUGCCGUGGUGUAUAAGGCGCCAGUGAUAAGAGCCGCAUGCAAACUUUCAGUCAGCUUUUUUAAUAUUCAGCAGGAAAUACAGGAUGUAGGCAACUUUUUGAGCAUCAGUCCUGCUUUGCAAUUUCUCCCCUUUUCCUCAAAUAACACCAGGUUUAAUUCAGAGCCGGCCGCCCUGUGGCUUUUCUCUCGCCUCGGUCCUGCUUAGGCCUGAUCUUUCCCUUCACCAGAGAGAGAGAGAGAGAGACUCGCUCAGCAUCACUGAAUUUAAGGGACAUUUUGCUUGAGUGUGCUUAGACACAUGAUUAUGUUGUAUUUCUGAUGCACUUCUACCACACUUAACAGAACGUGUUAAGCACAUCCUUAAUGGGAACCUUAAAAACCCCAAGGCCAAUUUUCAUUUUCGAGCGUAUUGGUAGGGAUUUGUGACAUUUCAACUCAUUUCAGGAUUCAAUCAAAGCCGUAGCUCCAGGGAGAGCAGAAAUGGCACGCUCUUUCCCGCAAAUCCAGCUGUCCUUGGUUUGCUAUAUAUGCAUACAACUUCUUCUUCCUCCACAGUGAAACCAGCCAGAAUUGAGUGAAAUUUAAUGACCCAUUUAAGUUUACCUUGAAGACAAAUGCAAAGAGUGCAGAAAUGUUUCUGUUUUUCUGCCUCGGAUGGGAAUGUUUUAUUUAGAAAAACAAAGUGACUCCUGCUCGUUUGUAAAGGGUUUCCAAAUCAGCGGGGAGUGAAACACACACGCGCACACACUCACACACACACACACGGCGUGCUUCAUCACUGUGAGCACCUUAGCUUUGAAUGAAACGAAGAAGAGGACAGAUAGAGACACGUUUAAGUGAAGCCGCUCUGAUGAAAAUCCAAGCCUUCACAGCACCAAACUCAAACAAGUCCUCUGAAAAAGCCUUUGGAUCAACAUUCAUGUCCUCAGCCUCUUAAAUAAACGUCUGUUUAAGGUGAAAAGGAGCAGGUGGAGUGUCCAGUUAGAGCCAUGUACGGCCUGUGUGAUGGCACUCCUCUUUUUUUGUGUGUUUUUUUCUUUUAAAAUGGUUCAUUUGUUGCUAUUUGAAUCUCUAAAUUAAAUCUGAAAUCUUGUGUUAAAGUUCUUUAGGUUAUUUUGAGCUAUUAAUAGUUUAAAAAAAUAAUCAUUUUAUUCUAGGUUUUAUUCAGACAGCAUGUGCAGUCACAGUUUAUUAAUAACAGAUAUUAAAUGUAUUGGUUUAUGUAUGUGUUUAUUAGAAAUAGUGUAAAAUGUUAAACCAGGAAUGAGAAAUACCACCACAAAAUAGUACAAAUUUUCCGCCUUUGCAGCUUUAUUUUUGAUGGGUGAUAAGGCAACAAAGCACUGUAAUAUUUGAGUGGUGUGUGUUCGAUAUGUACGAGUGUGUGUGUGUGUGUGUCAUGUUGGUAUUAGUGUGAAUCUGCCUGCAGUGGGGGGUUUUUGUAUCUUAAUCUAAUUAAGAAAAAGAUGCCUGAAUAUAGACGAAGAAUUAUGAGCUUGCAAAUGGGGGAAGGGAACUCUAUUUGAUCAAGUCGGGUUGCCCAGCAACCCAAGCCAUUUAUUUCAGACUUAGGAAGAAAAAAAAAAGAAAAAAAAGAAAAACUCCCUCUAAGAUUUAAUAAUCAGGUUGUCUGCAUUAAAAUGCAGAGCAGGCUGUCAGACUGCACCUGAAGGACAGCAGAAAUUAGGCAGGCUAAUUUCUCUCCUUACAGGUGAAUGGCUGACCUUCUGCAGAGUGCCUGUCAAAAUCAGCACUCAAACUCUACAAAUCAGCUGAAAUAAUCUUUUAAAAGCCGCUUUUAAAAGAGAGGGAAAAAAUAAAGGGGGUAAAACUGGAGCAGUACGAGCGCACGGUGUGUUUAUCUCAUUUGAAUGUUGUUAAUUGAGCGAGCUCAUGUGACUCCAUACGCAGUCGUUAUGAAUUUAACGCAAUGUUCAUUUCCAAUUUUCUACUCAGACAGGUUCACAGUGAGCUGCUGUUUAUUGCAAAAACGAAAUAUCAUGACAGACAGAAAAACACACACAAAGAAAAUAUACCACUAUGUCUCAGCAGCAUUUUUCUUUUUCUUUUGAGAAAAAUAACGUUUCUCUUUGCACUUCAAUCAGAUAAUCACAUAUUUCCCUAAUUCUCUUUGUUUAAAAAAGCAUAUUUCAUAAAUAUUAACCACUGCAGGGAUAUAUCUGUCGCUCUCUAACUGAGAGUGUAAAAGCUGGGUGUUGGCUGCAGAGGUGCUCCUGUGCUAAUAAUCCCUGGCACCCUCCUGUCUUUUGUUUUCCUAAUUGCUGCCGUUCCUUUUAUUUAAUUUUUUUUUUUUUUUUUCUCGUCAGAGGGCGUUCAUCUAAGUGCAGCAGGCCCUGCUGGAGAGCUCUGAAGGCUUCCUGUGGACUUCCUGUGGACUUCCAACAAAAAGCCCUGUCAGGUGGAUCAGCCAUUAGUCACUGGUCUUCAUUGUCUCUGACAAACCUGACGUUUAAAUUACACGCAUAAUUCCAAAGCUCCCCCUGUGAGGCACAAAUUGCACAUGUUUUAUCCUGGAAAUGUCACAUGUGCCAGGCUGAACUUCUUUCAGGAAACAUGUUGAUACUAAAUGUUGAUUUUAACCUUUGCUCAGUGAAAUAUUUUUCACCAACUGCACGGCAAUGGAGCAUUUUUUAGUUAGGACAUUUUUUUUGCUAAAUACAUUUUGUUCUAUCCUGGGGUAUAAACUGAUUUAUUUUUUAAAGCGUUUAUUCCCAAAUUAGACAUAAAAAGUGUGAUCAUGAGGUCGAAUGAGUUGAUAUUGGCAUUAAUAGUUUUUCAAAUGUUGUUAUUCUGCAAAAGUAAUAGUGAAAUAAUGAUAACAAAAAUGUUUUUCCCUUCAGCUGUUUAAAGAAAAGGGAAAAAAAAAACAGCUUGACUUUUUUUUCUUUUUUCUAAUCUUGGAUGAAUUUAACUUCAGAAUAGCCUCCAAUAGAUUUAGCUGAAAUGGACUGAUUAAAUAAUGCCCUCUUGUGGUCUUAAUAUGAGGAUUAUUAAAAAGAAGUAAAUAUUUAAUUAAUAAUUCUAUGAAAACCGCACAAAUACCAGAACAUUUUUCAUGUUCAGUGUUUUAUAAACUGGUUAGCACAUAUUUUAAAUCAUAUAAAGGUUUUAAUUACUGCUUGUAUUUGCUUUAUUCUCAGGAUUUUUGCUCUAUUUAGCAGAAACACACACACAAACCCUCCUGCUCAGACUCUUGGCUGAUGAGAAUUACUCUCUCUUUUCACUAGAUGGGGUCAGAGCAUCAUUUAAAGGCGUUGACACAGAGCUCAUCUCGCCCCUUGAACCUGGAGGUGCACUAAAAUUUCUUGAUAAAGCUGCACCUUGAUUCUCUUUUAGGUUUUGCAGAGAUUCCUGUCUGAUUAUUAUUUUUUUUUGCAUCAUAUUAGGCUGGGUCGGUCUGGUUUGCCUCUCAAAAGAAGAGGUUCGAAUAUGUUUUCUUCCCGCAUUCGUUGGUGUGCAGUGUUGAAGUGGAAUCAGCACUUUGUAAGGCGCUUUAAUGCGGGAGAAAAAUCUUGUGUGCACAAGAAAGUGUGUGUUUUUAACAUUAGGUUGAUUCAAAGCGGCUGUUUCCUUUUGCGCAUGUGUGUUUGUGUGUGUUUUGCGUAACUGGCAUUUAAAUUAGAUUAACCAAAACUUUCUGAAAAACUCAUUCCCCUUUAGAUAGAACAAUGUGGGGUUUUUUUCCCCUCUUUUGCACACAUUCACUUUCUCACAAUUGCGUUCUUGAUUCGAUAAAGUCCACAGAGUUUCCCCCUUCUCUCUGUCUUUUUUUCCCAGCAGCCCUCCCUGUUCAUACAUUCAUUUGAGAGUAGCAUAUCAUUAGCUCAUGGUUGUGUUAUGGCGCACUGUUGUUCGUCCUGUCCCGGCUCCUCAGUGGGUUUGAAUUGGCCUGGGAAAGAGACGGGGGAAAGCUUAACCAGCAGCACUGUGAGGCUCUGUGGAGAUGACAAGUAGCUCCUUGAUUAACCCAUAGGCUGGUUGAGCGGACACACUGUGUUCUUUAUUCAUUCCCCUUGUCCUUUUCUUUCAGAAAGAGACCCAAUAGGGCCCAGCAGGUGAAUGUAAAGAAACGCGAGAGGACUCCCCUCCGAUCGGCCCUUUCAGCCCCUCACAAUGGGCCGGCCCACCUCUUGUACAGCUGCAUUAAAACCCUGAUUAAAGUUCUUCCUGUUAGCAAUUGAUUGAGGAUGCGGAGCUAAAACCAACAAAAACCUGCACUGCUGAGGUCUGAUAAUGACCGGGCCCCACCUACAAAGAGCGGGCUUCAAAUGAUUAGUGGACUUUUGUUUUCUUAGGAGGUGUGUUUGAGACUGAGUGUGUGUGUGAGUGAGUUAAAAAAAAAAAGAAGAGGAAGAAGAAGAGGGAGACGUGAGGGAGGAGAAGUUGUUUAAGCGUACCAGGAGGUCUUCAGACAGAUAGCUCUAAUUAAUCAACAGGGCUCUGUGGGGGAAAAAAGCAAAAAACAACAAAAAAAAACCCUUUCUUUUCUUUUCUUUCUUCUCAUUUUUUCUUUCAUUUCAAUCAGCAAUGACAGCGUGAGUGUGUGUGUGUGUGUGUGUGCAGGUGCAUGUGUGAUGAUGGCUUGAUUUUUUUUGGUGCCAUGGCCUAAAAUUAAAGACACACAAAUUUUUGUUGUCAGAUUAUUACCAGAUGAAAAAUUAUUCUGAGUUUUCCUAAAAAUACAACAGAAAAUGGUUAAGAAGAAAGAGAAAUAAAGGGAAACAAAUGCAGAGUGAAGCACAAAUCAAAGGUAAAGGUUACUGCGUUAGUACUCCCCUGAUCACUAAAACAGUACAGACAGUAGAGAGGAAUAAAAAAAAUAAAAAAAAGCAUCUGGCAUGUUUCUCGUGGUCUCCUUAAACUUUCACAUGCUCAUCAUAAUCAGGUUUUGAAGUGCAGAUUUUUAAACACUCUUGUAUUGUUAUGUAAACAGCCUUUUUUUGCAUGUUAAUCCUUUUAUGAGGGGGAAGAUAGGGAGACGCAUGACGACAUGGGAAAUGAUUUGAGGAGUAGACACUGAGUAGACUUUAACAAUGUGCGUGCCAGUGUGUGUGUGUGUACGUGUGUGUGUGUGUCUAGAGAGGGGCUCUUCAAGAAUGCAUAAAUAUUGCAUUUCUUUGUUUGACGGAUGUGUGACACAUUUUCAUGUUUCCUCAACAAAUUCCACUGUCAUAUUCUUCCUUUUGUCAGUCAUCUUCCAAACAGCACAUCCUGACAAUUAUCCCAGAGAAACUCCUGAUCAAAAACCGCCUUAUUCUGUCUGCUGCCGGGCUCCAUCACACACACACACACUCGCACACACACACUCACACACACACACACUCAUUCUGCAUCUCUUUCCUCUCCCUGCAGCUCAGUCUCCAUUUGGAUAUACCGCUCCACUCAUAAGUUCAAAUGCAAAAAUUACAUUUUACAAAGCAUUUGUGUCAACUUUAUCUCACACAUUUGUAAUGUCUGUUUGUGGAUGCAGGAUGCGGUUUAUUAGCGUGUUGCAGAGUGUCACUCUGAGUGUGUGUGUGUGUGUGUGCUGUAACGAAGCAGCUAAUUCACAGUUUCAACAGAGGAGGGCAUCGUGCAUUAAUGUGGGCCACUCUUAAUAAAAAGACUUGUCAGCAGAAUAAUGAUAAUAAUGGCUCUGGAAAAAAUCUCAUUAAAUAGAUUUCGGCUAAUUUAGUUCAACAUUUCACCAGGAGAUUUCAUAUUUCUGACUGAGUGAUUUUUUUUUUUUGUGCUUUUAUUUUGUAAUUUUUUAAGGGCAAAAUAAAAGCAUAAUAGUGCUGUUAUUUUAAGAGAUUAGAUAAAACUAUUAAUAGGAAAUUCAGGCGUAGGAUUUCUCAAACAUUACGAUACAACAGAGCAUCAAAUAUGUGUAGUUUGGAUAAUGUGUGGUGUAAGAUAAAACGUCAAAUGUACACCCUUAUAUGGAGGCUGGUUCGACUUCCUUUGCUGCUCAUUAUCCCUCCCUCUUCCUGUCCUAUCCAAUAAAAAUAUCCUAAAAGUAACUAUAAAAAUAUAUAAAGUCAAUGAGGUUAUAUGCGAAGAAACAGUCCCAGACAUAGGAUUCAAACGGAAGUAUGAUGCAUCAAGUAAUAAUGUCAGCCAAGUAAUGUAAUACCACAUUUCUCAGUGGUCUGGUGUUGCUAUUUAGAGGUGUUCACCGGAGACUCAAGUAAAUAUAGAAUAUGAUAUUAAACAUAAAUGUACAUGAUCAAAAAAAGAAAAAGGAGGCAAUGAAAGAAACAGGUCCUAAAAAUAUCAGAGGUGAUGAACAAGGUGGGGUCAAAUUCCUAGCAGCACCCCUGAAUAUGAUAGUAAUGAAAUAUAGUGACAACAGGGUAAUUAAUUAAUCAAUAACACACACAUUAAUAUCAGGUCUUUGAAUUAUUUAUUGUUUAUUAUGAUAAACUAAAUCUUCAAUUUUUGAUUCACAUUUUCACUCCAAGUUGUGUGUGUGUGUUUUCAAGUUUUAGGGUUUACAAGUAAAGCAGUAUUACUUCAGAGAGAAAAAAAGUACAAAUUCACACACUUUAUAUCACAAGAAAAAAGCUUUGUAUUCAGUCGAUGCUGGAGUGUUUGAAUAGCAGAGAGAGAAAAAUAGAGACAGACAGGUGGAGGACAGCACUGAGGAGGCCCUCAGGCUGCAGAGAGGGUCUUGGGCAGAUUGGCUCUGAGGCUCCACAACAACCAUCCUCACAUCCCACACAUUUAUCAGGGUAGGGUUAGUGUAUCACACAGUGCCUAUACUUAUGCUGUGCAAACACACACAUACACACACAUUUAGACACCCGCCUACGCCCACUGUAAGUCUUAUAGCCUUUUUAACUUCUCCUCUGUGCACCUCUUCCUCCCACUCUGCUGUUAUUAGCCUCAGACAAUCAGACUACCUGACUCCACCUCGCGGCGUGUGUGUGUGAGUCAGAGCGACCUGCAGUCCCAGUUAUUUUCAAGAGCAUAAUUGUUCCAUGUAUAAAACUGCCGCCGCAGAAUCAAAGUAAUGAUGCAAGAAAGAAAUAUUAGUAUGAAAAAAGCAAAAAAUGUCAGAGACGAUGAAAUUAUUUGAGAUUCUUCUUGUAUCAUGUGACGGAAAAAGCAUCCCAGACAUAGUAUCAGAUCACAGAGUGCUGUAAUGCAUAACACACCGAGUCUGCUUUUAUUCUUGUAACUUAAAGGCUUUGCAGCUCAGCCUAAGCCCUGUAUUUUAUUUCAUAUAUGGUCAGGGAGUCUUAUUUAGUCUUAUAUGACGCAAGAGAGGCCUCGGGCGCAUGAAAAAGGAGAUUCAACUUUCGACAAGAGACUCUAUCUCUCUUUCAUUUGCACCUUGUACAUCUCUACGCUCUUUGGGGCUCUUUUUGGUUUAUAGAAGUGGACAUUAAGUUUACCUGGCAGGCAGCGGAGAGGGAUAAAAGCAGGGGCCCGUUGAUAAAUCCCGCUCGGAUCGUAGUCGGACUGAACAAUGUCUACAACAAGCCCAGGGAGUGUAAAAGCUUUGAAAUACUGUUUCUGGGUACUCCCGCUGUUCUAAAUUCACACUGCUGAUUUAUUAUGGAAAGGAUGCAGUGCUGCUGUCUGCCUACAAGUCUGCUUUUUAUGUGAAUGUGUAGUUGGUCAAAAAUGAAUGACCUCAAAGGGAAUAAGAAGAGUGAGAAAUUAAUAAAAGCUGGCAGCUUUCUUUCCCAGUUUAUUAUGUCACAUUAGUCAGUCUCUGCCUUUCUCAGGAACACAGAAUCUGUGACUUCUUACAUCGUGGUGUAAAUCUGAAAAAUCUGUGUUUACCAAGAUGUUCGUGAAACACUUUUUGUGGGCGUAGUCCAACAACCGCAAAGACUGACAGUCUUGACACAACCCCUAUCCUCCGCACCAGCCCUCCAGCCUCUUCUUUGCCCCCCUUCCACAAACCAGGGGUCUCCCGCGGCACAAACAACAGCACAUAGCCACACACUCCACCCUUUGGAGUCAGCGCCGGGUCACGGAGGCCGACGCCGGGCUGUGCGUAGCAUCAAACACACAUGUCAGAGUGAAGGACUGCCAGAUUGUCAGCAACUCUUCUCAUCCAACCCUAAAAAUAUCUCGAACGCGCCGCCCCCUCCUCUCGUACGCACACACAUACACACUCACAGCCUCAAUAUCCUGAUCUGUCUGACCUCGCUGGAUGUGGAUCAGUGCAAAGGAACUGACAAGCCAGACUUCAGGCAUGCCAACAAGUCUGGUGUCGAUGAAGUGAUGCUUUGAAUUAAAAGUACGUUUGACGCUUAAGAGGAGCUAACCUUAUUUGGCCAGCUAACGUGAUUUGAGUGGGCUCAGACGGAGAUAAAGUGCUAUGGUGUGUGGAGAGAAAUGGAUCUCUGCCAGCCGGAUCUGCUUAUUCAGUUGAUAAUAGAAGCAAAUGCUGCUAAAUGAACCCUGAGGUUCAGCGCAGAGCUAAUCUGAAAUGCUAACAGUUGCCCUUGCAUUUACGCUAUUCUAAGCUUCAUCGCUGCAGUUAUCUAAUAGCCGUUUGCUAAAAGUAUUUAGCGUGGGGAUCAUUUAUAAGCUCUCGAUUUUUCAUUUGCAUCUGUAAAAGGAGUAAAAGUGAAUCUAAUCCAAAUGAAAGCAUGUGUGGGUGUUUUCUAGGUUUGUGAUUUUUGCUCCCGCUGAAUUUUUAUGCUAACCCCAUUGACAUAUUUGUUUAGCACUGGAUGUAUUCACAGCUAAAAUGGUGUUUGUCGCCCAUAAGGAGGCAAAGUCUGUUAUGAGACGUGCCUUUGAUGGGGGAAAGGCCGAGCUUCUGGGCUGUUUUCAGAGGUGAGAGGGUGUCAGGAAUGGCGAGAUACAAAGUGCAGAGGCGUUGAUUAGGUGGAGGAGGGUGAAUCUGGAGAUCCUGGAGAGAAAGAUUUGACUGUAAGGACGCCCAUGUGCAUUAAGUAACAGAGUGCUAAAUGUUCGCAUCUCUCCUGCCAACACUUUCUCCGUGGCGUUGUUGUUUAUGGUGGACUCUUUUGCUUUGUAUGUAAAGAGGCUGAGGUGGAGCUCCCCCACCCUUCGCUCUCCAAACUCAUCCUCAAAGAGCAUUAAUCAUUGGUUCUCAAAGACACGGUCUCUCUGAGGAGCAGUCACUCGCCAGAAGAUGACGAGACACACAUGAAAGCUAUAGCAAGGAACAGAGGAGGGGGUUGAGAUAAGGUAUAGUGAACUAUCCUGCAGGGAAAAAGGGGAGAGGAUUUCCCCUCUCAUUAAAGAUCAACUGCUCGUCUCUCGCCGAACGAAAACUCCUCCUUGGAAGCAAACAAACAAACAAACAAACACUUGAAGGGAACAUUAAAUGGAGGAGAGGCUUUCAAUUGAUGCUAUUGCUUUAUGUCGCCUAUGUGCCUCAAAUACACCCACCGGUGUUGUCAGUAUUUGCUGUGCAUAGGCUCCACAUAUUCCUGGAGGUCAGGUCACAGGUGGUCUCAGGAGGAUAGAAGACCAAAGCUGGUCCUGGUCUGCUCUUCUUAGAGAUGCCUUUAUGAUCUCCAAGCAUGAGGACCAACCCCUGCUGGGCCUUUAAUCCGGUCUAAAGAGAGGUAGGAUGAUGGCUUCUUCUCUCGCUCUAUGGCCGUCGGGUCCUCCCAACACCUCCCUGUGUAUGAGGGGGAUUAGCAAUACAGGCCUGGAGCACCCCUACUGUCUCAGUAAGGAGCUGACCUUGCAACCCCGUAGCCAGGUGGAGCUCCAGGAUGGAUGGAUACUCAGGUUUAAAUGAGGUGUCCUGAUGGGCACCAGGUAAGACAGGUCACCAGGGGUCGACGAACCUCCUGCUGUCAGACACAAAAAGAGCCAGAGGAUCACCUGCCGCUCGCCAGAUCAAAUGCAGGCUUAAAUAGGGGGCUCCUCUCUUGUCAAAUCUCUCUCCAUGAAUACUCAGCAAGGCCAGAACCUGCUCUACAGCCCCCCCUCCCCCAAGUCCUGGCCUCCUGUAGACCUGAGACCCUGUUGACGGCUAACACCUCCUGUACUUCAGCCCAGGUCCCCCCUCGCAGUGGCCAUCAAGCUCUUAAUUCCUCCUCUCAGCCCAUCACUAAGUACUGUGUGCAUAAUGGACCUAUAAUCAACCUCUGGCCAAUGGAGCCUUUUCUCUCAGCGUGUCUGCACUCAUGUCGAGCUUGCAUGUCGAGUUGCAAUGAGAUGCUAAUUAGACUUCAUAUCUACGGGGCUAAUCUGUGUGUUCGCAUUCAGGUGCUUUUAAUCCACUCCAUAGCUGAGCGGCCUGCUAAUUUGCAGGUAGUAUUUCCAUAUAGUGGUCAAGGGAAAAGGGUGGAAUUAUCUUAUGAAUUAUUUCGAUGAAGACAUCUUUGAAGGUAGCCGUUCGGGCUGUAAUUUCGAAGUUCUUAUGUGGAGCGCGGUCUAUGGUUGUAAGGUUAAUGGUCAGAUCCUGUUCUCGACGCCAAAUAACCUCAUCAAACUGCACUGCAUGACAGGGUAAGUGAGGGGUGUGGCGGUCUAGGUGCCCGACACAAUGCCCCCUGUCAGUCAGCCUCAUUCCUGGGGGGUGAAGAGGUGUGAGGGAGGGUGGCAGCCACAGGCCAUUGGGUCCCCGCGAUUGGCCUUAAUCCGCCAGCUAAUAAGUUCAGAGAGGGGCCAUAUGCUGCAGUGCAAUGUGCGGGGAGGGGAGUGUUGCCUCAUGUUACUUACACCAGGCCGGUGCUUUCUCAGGUACCGCCCUCCCACGGUCUGUUCCUUUGUACUGGGGGAUCAGCCCUCUCCACGCUGUGAAUGGUCCGAAUUGAUUAAACCCCACCGUAUAAUUGUCAGCAAAUCCCAGCGAAUCAUUUCCCAUCCAUUUGAAAAGUACAAUGUGCAUUUCUCUCUUUUUCCUCGCCUCUCUUUUUUUUCCCCUCUCACCAUCCCCACCCCUCAAUGCCCUGCCCCUCCUGUUUUUUCCACUCCUCUUUUUUUUCUUCCUGGGUUUCAAGUUUGUCCCUGCAUGCCACUCUCUCCCCUGCAUGAGAGAGAAAUGAGAGAGAAAGCAGAAGCAGGAGGAGGACGGGGAUAAGAGGAGGAGGCAGGGGUGAGGAGGAGGUGGCGGGGUAUGCUUGGUUGGACACUUGGCCGUAGAUGAAAGUGGGCAAAAGGGAGAGGUGUGUUUUAAUCUGUGGCCUAGGCCAGGGAGCUGGGGAGCUGAUCUGAGCUGGUACCUGCCUGGGCACAGUCGGGGCGGAGUCUGGUCGCAGCAUCAGGUAAACAAUAGGACGUCAGGGUUUAAGGGAGGCAGGAGAAGUUGAACAGCUUUUUUCUGCAGUACAUGUGAAGUACUUUCUAUCUGUAUGUGUCAGCCCUGUUGGCUUAAACAGAUCUUUAUUUGACAAAAUUAUCCCAAAAACACAACUUGUGUUUGAAUUUUUUGACCUGGCUCUUAUUCUGUCAGCAAUAUGAGGAAGAGCAUCACUGUUAAUGAGUGUAUCACAGUAAACCAACAUGGCUCUUAACGACAUCAAUGCAACAGGUGUAAAUCGUUUGACACGGCUAAUUUAAAUAGCAGAUGUCACACCUCAAUAUAGAUGGAUUCCCCAUCAGUAGGAGUAUUUACACUGAGAUUGUCAACCUGAUAAAGAUGAAGGAUCUAAACCCUGUUCCUCCAUGGUGCAAGAGCGUAUAGCCUUAGUAGAUUUUGGCUGUGUCCGAAAUGGAUCCCUAACCCCUAUAUAGGCGAUUAUAUGGGGGUUAGCGCCAUUUUGAGGGGUGUCUAAAACCCGAGUGAUCAAUUCUAAUGCCCCAUAUAGGCGACUCAAAAUUUCCCAUACAGCAUUGCAAAAUGUAGUGACCAUCUGAUCUGUACAGUUGUCGAAAAACAAUUGUUUGCUGCGUCAUAUAAUCUCGUGCACAAUAUGACACAGCAAACAAUAUUCAGCAUGAAAAUAUAAUGCCUUUUAAAUAAAUUAUUCAUUAUUGUUUUUUUAUUUAUUUAUUUUUUAUUUCGCAAACAUCCUGGAAAAACAAAUACAUCUAUACAACAUCAUAAAAUUCAAGAGAUGUGAAAACAACGGGUGCAACUUCAGACGUGGCAGUCUGAGCAGUGACGUCACAACGGUGCAACAUGUAGUGUCCGAAAUCUGCUGUGAUUGAGUUCACUACAUAGUCAGCCUUAUAGUGAAACCCCAUAUGGGGGUUAGGGAUUCAUUUUGGACACAGCCCCUGAUUAAAGCCUCCUAAUGAUGUCAGUGCAACAGGUGUAAAUCGUUUGAAACGGCUAAUUUAAAUGGCAGAUGUCGCACCUCAAUAGAGAUGGAUUCCCCAUCACUUUACGCUGAAAUUGUCAACCUAAGACAGAUGAAGGAUUGUGUAAGACGCAGUACAGCUUUUGUUGAUUUUAGGUAUUAAAAUGUAAUUUAUUCAACCUUGUCCGCAGCAGAAGGAGGAGGUUUUAACUAAAAGGUCAAUGUUGAAGUCCAAGUUUAAGUUCAUUAUUUUUAUUAUUGUUCAGAAGGAAAUUUGAUAUACAGAUAUACAGUCACUGAGAGAAAAUAACAUGAAAUUUAUGACAUACACAUUUUUCAUGGUUCAUACAAAGAUCAAAACAUUUUAUUCCAACGAGAAACAGCAAAACUGAAACCUCACCAAGUCACCGAGUCACAGAGUGAGCAAGUUUGUUUUCAGCCAGUCCAGACUUGUUCUACGAAUGAAAAUUGUCCCAAAAAAACGUAAAGAUUUGGUAUUAGAAGAGGGGAAAGGUCAAAACACCUUGUGGUUCACACAACAUUGAAGGUCCCCUAACCUUUGACCCGACUUUGACCCUUUUUUUACGUCAGCAAAGAAAAACUCUGGAUCAGAAAAAUACAUAUAUGCCAUUAGGAGUCAAAUAUAAACCGUGUUUUACAAAUAUCCUUUUUUUUAGCGUUUACAUUGAAUUCUGAAUCACAAAUGGCAGAGCUGUUCUUCAUGGUACUGACCAGAGACCAAUCAUGACCUCUAACAUGUGUCCGUCCUCUAUUCAAUCCUCCAUUAUGAGAACACAUGUUCAACAGCCUUUCAUUGAUCUGAGAGGUCCCCUGACAGAGGUUCAAGACUCCCUGACCUCAGUCAUUUAACCUUUAACCUCCAGCUACUAAUUGGAAUUGGUCUGGGGGUUUAAGUCAUUUCAGGCGCCUUUGUGGCUUCGAAGGCAUUCAUUGAUAUCAAGCUGUUGACAUAUUUUGACUAUAUUGAAGUUUGCGGCAACAUAUUGAUGCCGAAUCUCUCUUUAAUGCCGGUGAUGGAUGUGUACAGCCUUGGCUGUGCUUGAUAGAAAAAUCUUGACUCAAGGUCAACAUGCUGGCCUCUCAGAUACCUUUUUUUGAUCUUUAUUGGUCGAUGUUGUGCGCUUACAUGAGUAGGAAAAGCGAAGGAUACCUUAGGCGUUCAGAUACGGACCUCUCAAACUUCAUGGCUUUUUGUUGGACUGGUUCUUUAAGGCCCAAGCUCAGGCUAAAAAGGUGCUCGUACCAUUAUAAGCGUGUCAUAUGGAGCAAAAUGUCAUUAUGGAUCACAUCAUAUUUUACACAGUUCUUGAUCCUCAUCCCUUAUAGAUCCAUCUCACAUACGAGCUCAUAUACAUACACGCAGGCUCUGUCAGGAAUCUCAUAACCUGACAUUGAUCUUCAACUUUGACGCUCGGCUUUCAUUACUGGCUGAAGGGCGUUGUUUGUGGGAGCGAUCUUCAUGUAAAGUGCUCAUAAAUGAUCACAGGCCAUGCGGGCAGAUUUAUGAUCAUGGGGGUUACAAGGAGACGUGGGACAAUGCAGCAUCUCAUCUAGACCCCGUAUAGAUUGCGCCAUCCCGUUGGUUUGGGGUUCGUGUGUGGUCGCGGUGGUGAUGAUGAAGAAGAGGUGGAGAAAUAUGAGGAGGCAGAGGAAAGGGCGGAGAGGAGAAGUUAUAGUUUUGAUGCUUUUGGACAGGUGAUAGAAACAGGUGCUAAUUCAUAACAUGCAAAUUCUCAUAUGGUUACAAAACACACAUUAACAUGCUAAUUCUGGAUAUAGCUGGUGGUCAGGAAGUGCUGCAGACCUCUGGCCCCUUAUUUCCAUGCAGAAUAGUUAACCUUGAGAUCAACGUUGGAAAAUGCAAUCCUCAAAGACUGUCCCUCCAAAGACCCCAUCUACAGUUAAUUAUCAUUUCCCACUCGCACCUCUGCAUUGUUAAUGAUUUCCUUUGCAUAUUUUCCCUGCUUUUCCAAGUAAAGUAAUCUCUAUCAUGGUGCUUUAUCCAGGCAGGUGUUGGACUGUGAAUUCAAUUACGACAAUGCAGAUAUUCUCUCGCUUAAAGACUUAAUCUCUCUAGGUUAGAAAAAUCAUGAUAGGCUGAUGAAAGUUCCUGCUGACAUUGUCUGUGGACACGCGCAACUAGAGUGACGCUUCAACAAAUGCAACCGCCAUGCUUUAAUGCUUAAAGUUGCGGCGUUACUAUUAUUGUCUGCCAAGUUUUUGGCGUUUUACACGCAGCUCUGAGCGGGAGGUUAGCAGCCCAUCAUGUCAAGGGUCAUUAAUCCUUCACUUGUGCAGCCAAAGUCCUUAAUGAUGUCCACUAACAGGCUCAGGAGUCUAUCAGUGAGAGUCUCCAGAGAGCCGAGCGGUGGUGUUUGGUUCACACACUCUGACCUCUAGUGACCACGGUCGUCUGACCCACACAUGGGCCCUCGCACCAAUGGGGUCAUCAAUGGGACCCUGUCAAGGGCCGUGAGCAAACAGAUUAGGCUCCAUUGUUUGUAAAUAGGAUGACCAGCUGCCUCACUGCCCAUCACUACAAUUAUAUGACCCGCGAAGAAGAACCUUUAUAGAUGUCUGUGACUGUUUUUCUUUAACAUAAUCAUCAAUAAAUUAAAAUACGCUCUGGUGUCGAGAAAAUGCAGGCACAGGUAUCAGUACACUGAAAAAAAAAUCAAAAUCAAGCAGGUGUUUGUCAGCAAAAAGUCUCAUUAGACCAGACCUGGGCAUUUUACGGCCGGAGGGCCACUUGUCCUUGCCCAGCCCUUCGUAAGGUCCGUCAAUCAAAUCAACAUGCUAUACAAGUGUGUGGCUUUUAUUUUAAAAACUUAGGCAUUGUUUUAUUUCCAUUCGGACGCACAUGCGUACAUCCUAGAUCUGCAUUCAUGAACAGAGACAAGUUUAAACAUCAGCAAAAUAUACAUAGAUGCCUCAAAACUCGUGAGUCGCUGAUGCACUUUUUUGGGGCUUGUUUUUAACUAGUAGUUGCUUUUUUGGGCUUUCUUUUCUGAAUGUGAAGUUAUUGUUGGUUCGGCCCUCCAGCACAAUUCAGGUUUCUCAUGUGGCCCCAUGUAAAAAUAAAUUGCCCACCCCUGCACUAGACUCAGAAUUCAUCUAACAAGUCAAGAUAAACGUCUUAAUUCAAGGUAUCUAAGACCUGAAUUGCUUGUGAUUAAUGUAAAAUAUCUGUCACCACAUGGUCAGAAACAUUAAUUAAUAAAGUUUGAUUCGACAGGUUCGACAAUUAUCUUCUUACUCAUUACAAACAAUUCAGAUCGCCAUUUAGGCUAAUAACACCUUAAAAUGAGAUGUUUAUCUGGACUUUUCACAUGAAGUGUAAUAGACUUUUUUUCCCCGCUAGAAAUAAGACAAAAAAAACAAGUUUGUCUAGUUAAUGUGGUAUUUUUUCCUUUAUUAAACCAAAAGGAUUAAGUGAAUUUCACAUAGUAAAAAAAAUCUGUUCAUGGCAACCAAACCCGAUUCUCUUCAACUGUGAAAGCAUUCACCCCCCUCAAAAAAAAUUGGCUUGAGUUGAGUGUUGCUCGGUGUCAAUCAUUCCCUCAUUGACCCCCUGCUUCCUGACAAAUUGCCCCCCUGCCACUGUUCAGGAACUCUCCCCGUGUCCACUCAUGGCUGUAACCCCCCCCUCUGACCCUUGGGAGAGAGAGCCCUGUGUGGCUGACCACCGUAUCCUCAUUUGACCUGCAUCUCCCAUAUGGAGAGGGGGCAGAGAGGAGACACUGCUGGAGGGUCAAAGGUUAAAUGACCAGGACUGUUUACAAGGCAAUGGGGAGUUCAAACAGCAGACAUUUGUCCAGUCUUUGUCCGCUCACACUUAAUGGACUGUUAAAGAGUACAGAGGCACUAAAGCACUAAAUUUAAACAUAUUCACUAAAGGAAUGAGGCGGACUAAUUAACCCCAAUUAUAAGGUGUAUUAGUGGCUGUUUUUGCCUUAACUGUACAGAAAUAUACUUAUUUUUAAUAAAUUCUUCUGACUAAUAAAUAAGCAGCCUCCAGUCCAAACUUGAACCUUCCACAUCUCAGCUCCUUCACAUCUUCUCACAUGGGUUAUGAAUCUGAUUAACACAGGGUUUGCUUUUGUUUGGACACCCUGUGUUUACAUAAAGAGGCCCAGUGGGACCAGCCCUGGAGGUCAGGGGGUCGAUCCUUGGUUGUCAGAGAGCCUUGUGACAUUUCUUUCCCACGUUUCCCAGCUUCCAUUGUCCACGGCGAGGAGCCCCCGUUAACGUUUGGCCCUGGGAGGUAGUGUGGCGUGAGAGGGAGGCCUCGGGGUAUUGGACCCUCAGCGGGUCCCUGGGAAACGGGCGUAACCAGGCGGGGCCGAGGCGAGCGGGGACAGCAUGGGGUCAUUUUCCGGCUUGCUGCCCCUCUAAAGGGCUUUGGAGCACAGUAUUGGCCCCUGGAGGAGUGCUGGUGUGGAAGACAGUACAAAGGGCUUUGUCUGUGUGUGUGUGUGUGUGUGUGUGUGUGUGUGUGUGUGUGUGUGUGUGUGUGUGUGUGUGUGUGUGUGUGUGUGUGUGUGUGUGUGAGAGAGAGGGAUGUGUGAUUGACUGCACACCUCAGCAGCUUCAUGUGAGUUUCCAAUUAUUAUUAUUUUACAAACAACAAAUUCUUGUCCACCUUCUUAUCAAUAUCCAAUUCUGAUCAUUAUAGAUCAGAAGGUCGUUGGAUAUGAGCUCUAGUAAAGAUUUUGUGUUGCUUAAUUGCUAAAUAACUAUCAACACAACACCCUAAAUUAAAACAAAUAAUCUGAAAUGACAAAUCUGAUGAACAUUCUGAAUGCAGCACUGAUAAACAUGUAAUUUUCAAUAGAGCCCGACCGAUAUGGAUUUUUUUGGAGCCAAUGUCGAUGCCAAUUAUUAGGGGGGGGGUCAGAUUACCGAUUAAUUGGCUGAUUUUUUUUAAAGUUUUAAAAUGUUGUUAAUUUAUGUAAUAUAUCUACAUAUUUACUUAUAUUUUUAACAAAUGGCUGCUGUUGAGCCUUUCAAACACUUCUUCAAAGAAUUAAAGGCAGAAAACUUAUUUCAAAUCCUUUUUACAGGUAUUUUGUGUAAAGUGCAAACAAUAAAGUUAACUUCCAACUCUUUUGCUCAACAUCCUCUUCUCUCACAUCCCUCAAAACAAACAAUAAAAAACAACUGCAAAAGAAUGAGGUAAAGUGUGUUAUAUUAAUAUUGUUCUUAUGUUACUAAAUACCUAAUUCUUUUGCCGUUUUUUUUUUUUUUUUUACUGCUCUUUACACUGACAGGAAGACGACUGAUCAUCUCAGUAAUAUUCCACCUAUUUAUCAUGAAUCAAACUCCGACCAGCAAAGCGUUUUUAACUUCUUCUCUGUCGCUGCCUGUUUCAGAUCCGUCACUCUGUUGUGCUGUGAGGUAGUUAGUGGAUGAAGACUGUCAUGAGGUUGCUGCGCCAUGUACAGGAUAAGUCGCGGGGUCUUUUCAAAUUGCGGAACAUUUUCGAAGUGAAGCCGAAUCUUAUUCUCCGCAUUUUAUUUCUGAAAGUAUUGGCGACAAUCGGUGAGUUUUGGCCGAUUAUCGAUUAGUCUCAAAUGGGCUAAAAUUGGCUGAUUUAAUUGGCUCACAGAUAAAUCGGUCUGGCCCUAAUAUUGUAUAAAAUAUGGAUAUUCAACUUGCUAAUCACUGUCUUUCUAUCCAGAAAUAAGAAUUUAGGAGCAAACUUGACAUAACAUGAAGAAAUAUUACUUUGAAAAUGUUGUUUCUAACAACUUUACUGUAGCUAAAUUUAGAAAUAAUGCCCUCGCUUUAUAUAAAUCAGAAUAAUAUUACUGAAUUAGCAGACAAAUCCCCUUCUUUUUACACCUUUCCUCACUAAGAAGACGUGCCUUCACAUUUUGGCUCUUGUACACCCGGGUUGUCAUUUGAAGCUAACACGCUAAGCUAUUGAAUAAUAAAUAGACGUCAGCAAAAUGAAUAAAUAAAACAUAUCACCCUGCCAUUAUCACCUUUUUCUCUGUCUACAUGCCAGAAAAGAUAUAACCAACGCUCGUCCUUAUAAUCAGGUCAUCCUUUUUUAAUGUUAGCCUGCUCCUUUUCUGCAGGCGCACUGACAGCUUCUCAGGAGGCUGCUGCUGCUGCUGCUCCAGUCGAGUCGACGCUUACAGUAAUGUGCCAGUAUGGGGCUUUGUUGAUCUGAGAGGGGGGUGCGUGCUCGCUAGCUUUGAGAGAUGAUGGGAGAGAGAGAGAGAAAGAGAGAGAGAGAGAGAGACCCCUUUACCCCUCACACUUAAACACACUUUCACACACCAUCAGUGUUCCUGUGGAUGGAGCUGAGAGAAGCAGCAGAGGAUCUCGAGGCGCAAACGGUCUCUGGUGUACGGUGCAUCAAGAGGAUCUGUGCUGUUUCUUCCUCCCCUCGCUGCACCUUGUAUGUGUGGCGACAAAUGGCAGCCAUUUUGUUUUUAUGUAUUAAAGAUUCUCCUCAUGCCCCUCCCUCCUUUCACUUUUUUGAUUUUUUUAAGCACAUAUUAUGGGAUCUUUAUUAUCAGAGUAGCGAAAUCCUCAAACCUAGACUUGUUGUACUCCUUAAACAUAAUUUCUUGGAUCAUUAAACAUGUUUAAUUUCUAUUUUCUCACUGGCAUCAAGUUUGAUAAACCAAAAACAAGCUCAACAUGGGAAAAAAACAGAAAAAAAGGGGAAAUGUAACUCUGUUUACAUGGAAAAACCGUAGAUGCACGCUUUGUUUGUCUCUAAUAGACCAUGCUAGCUCCUGAAUGCAACAUAUAAAAGUUUCAAUAAGACGUCUAUUCAUCCCGGUGUAGGUUUACCUUAGCUGAACGUAUUACCAGUAGCAUAUCAGCCCAGAGAAGCAGCCUGAUAGAAUCUCUCCACUCUUCCAAAUCGCAGACAAAACAUUGCAAUCUGCUCGGCUGAUUGCUGCUAUUUUCUUGCUCCUCUCCUUUAGCAGAAUUGUUUCCUGCCCUUACGGCUUGAGUUUAUCAGGUGUUGAACAAUAGGAUAGGGAUGCUUCAUCAGGUGUUAAACAACAGAAUAGAAUACUUUGGAAAAAGGGUCGCAACUUUCCGCAAACCUCAAAACCGAACUUUAUUUCAAUUUCAUAGAAGGAAAACAGACACAAAUCUUUCGAUCUGGAAAAAAAAGAAAGAAAGAAACUCAAGGAUGCUUUGGAUGCAACACAGCAUUUCUGCACACCUCUUGUUGAGCAGCCCUGACACGUGGGAGGGAACUAUUUUAUUCUCAAAUGUAUUUAUUCAUGGAUCUGACAUUUUAAACAACCCCUGCGUGCCUGCGGAGUUACAAAGCAAGCUAAUUUUCUAUCAUAUUUCAUAGAUUUAAGGCUCUAUCACGCUCCAUACGCAGAGGAAGAUUUGCUCGCUGUCUUCCUGCACUCCCAAAGCCUGAACCCGAACUUGGGAGUGCAGAGGCAGAUUUAUAUGCAUGCCCCUCCUUUGAUGACAGGGUAAAUAUUCACACAGACAGCCAAGGUGCCCCCGUCAUUACCCAUGUGCUGCCUGUUUGCCCACCAGUUAAAUUCUUAGGGGGAUUGUUUGGGGAGAUGAAUGGGGCCAAAGUGCUGAAGGACGUAUCGGAGUUCAGCAAACAAAACCUCCACAGAUUGGCUCGGCAACAGCUCGGUCCAGUGGGCAAAGUUAGCAGUGAGGGGGUGAGAGGAGGAAGAAAAAAGGGCCGUUGUAGGUUUUUCGCCUGUCAAUUAAGACUGCAGUGAAUGGCUGCGAGGUGGAGGGUGCCUGCCAUCUCUCAGGUCCUGUUGGAUCAGUGCAGAUAGCCGAGGUGCCGUUCAUCAAAAAAAUAGGAGAAAAAAAACCCUGUCAAUAUUCAACUAUUUAAUAACCCUGAAUGUGCCGCUCACGGUGCCUUUUGAAGACUGUGGGGUCUGCGUAUCCCUUUGAUGUACUUUCAUUGUCAGACUCUCUAUCUGAAAUCUUCCAAGAUGGAAUUGGUGACAUUUUCUCUUUUUUCAUUCAUUCAAUCCAACCUCAAAGGUUUCCUGCAGUAUUUCUCUAGUCCAGGAUGCUUUGUUGUAACAGUAUGGGGGGUGCAGAGGGGGGGCAUUCAAGUUGGCUGUAGUUCCCCACUAGGAUUUCUAUCACAGUGUAAUGGAACACCAGGAGAUUUAGGCAGGGAUGUUACUGACAAAAUAUAUAUAUUUUAUGUGCCUGGACUUCUAAAGCAUAGACCUUGGAGUCUAGAUUGCUCCAAUUUACUUCCUUUUCUCAAUAUGAGACACACAUUGAAAGACAACAUACUUUCUCUUCCACGAAAAAAAAACACAAACACACCCAGACACACAAAAACAGAUUCACAGUUGACUCGCUUGUCACUUCCAGCUCUAACUAGAUUUAUAUAUAUAUUUAAAAAAUCUUCAUUUUAACAUCUUUGCACACUCUUUACUAUGAAAAUAUUGAACAUACAAAUGAGGCUUCAUCACACAAAUUAGGUUUUUAAUUCCUUUUAUUAAAAUAUACAAAAUUAAGUGUGUUUGAACAUAAUUUAAAAAAUAAUAAUAAUUUGAAUAUAGGAUUAAAUUGUUGAUUUUAAAGUUCUAUCAUUUUUCUAUCCUUUCAUUACUCUGUGUCACUGUUUUAUGUAUUGUGUUACUGUAUUUUAAAGGCACUGUAAGGAGUUUUUCACUGCUUAAGAAACUGACUGAAUCUGACAGCAGAGACUCUUUAUGACCUUCAACAUUAAACUAAACAGAUAAUUUCUCUGUUGUUGUUUUUAAUGCCUGAAACUGUUUAAGAAAGGGACUUUUAAAUAUUCUUCUUUGGCAUUAGAAUUAAACAUUUUACUGUUUAAGAGAAAGAGGAUAAGGUUUUUAUCUGGAAGUAUUACUUUUGCACGUGCAGGACAAGAAACAAAAGGCAUCACUUUGUCCACAGGAGGCGCUGAAAUCAACACAAACCAAAAGUUACUUACAGCAGCUUUAAAGCAACACAGAAGAUGGUUGUGUUGGUUGUUCUUCUUUACAGUCUCAGUUUUUAUCUGAAACAAAUGUGCUGAUAUGAGUUCUUACUGUCUUUGUUCAUCUUUUUUUGUUGUCCAACUGGUGUAUUUUGGUAAGACAUUUGUUUACAGUCUCUGGUAGGAAGCUAAAACCAGCUAGCUAUCAAAAGUCUGACCAAACUCGUGCUAGCAGCUGGCAUAAUAGUGCUUUAUCACAUCUUUAUCUGCAGGCUGGACUUAAUUUUUCUAAGACAGGACUGAGUGAGGCAUCUUGUUUAAAAAAGAGCACCAUUUUGAGACAAGAGGAGAGGAAGAAAAAAGGGUUAAGGACAAUUUCUUUGUAGGAUUGAGUAUUUAUCAUCGUAGAUUGUUGCACUCUUUAACAAGGUAGCAAAACUCAACAUAACUGCUACUGGGAUGUUUGUUAAAUGAUCGUCAACUUUAACAGUGUCAAGCUAGCUACCAGUCUAGUCUCCUCCUAAAAUCUAAAACUAAAACGAAACAAUAAACUCCUGAGAAAAUUAACGCCGAUGCUCGUCCAGUGAGAUUUUAGUGUGAUAGCUGGAUCCCCCUAAUUUAUCUGUACAGUAAAAUAAAUAACCAAUUUAAAAUCUUUGCUGUUUUUCAUGUUAAUGCUCGAUAAUCACUCAGCAGUUUUAAGCAUCGAAGAAAUAUGAAAACAGCCAAUCUUAGCCUAUGUUCACACUGCGGGUCAAUUCCGAUUUUUUAACCAUUUGUGACACAUAUCUGAUUUUUUCAUGUAAGUGUGAACAAUGCCAUUCUGAUUUUCUCAAAUUUUCUCAAAUCCGACCCAGGCCUCUUUUGUAUGUGGAUAUAAAUCGGAUAUGUAUCCGAUGUGACUGCAGUGUGGACGCUCAGGUCGCGUUCAUCCGAUCUAUACGUCAUCAUGUGCGACAAACGUCACCAUUGUUCAACAACACAAACAGGCGCGGAAAGCAGUUUGUACUUUGUGCGCAUGCGGGUCACUUCACGGAUGCAUUCCGUUCACAUUAGAUGCCGCAUUCAUUGUUGUAAUUUGAACGACCGCACAAAAAGAUCAGAUUUAACAAAAAAUCGGAAUUGUUCAUCAUAACCUGCAGUGUGAACGUAGCCUCAGUGGUUUUUUUUUCUUCCUUUUAUCGACAUCCAUCUCAGUUAGUUUUAUAACCAGCUCAAAAAUUCCCCACAGAAGCUUUAGCUGAAGUGUUUUUUUUUCUUCUCUUGCCUAUCAUGAAUCAGAAUUCACAUCUCUAGGAAAUCAGAGUUUUCAAAAGAUCUUGUUCACAUUUUUGUAAAAUACUGAUAAAUCUGAAUGCCUUUGGUUUUUUUUAAAGGUUAGUGGACGAUUGGAGUUGUGUCGGGUUUUUAAAAGUCUUUCUGACUUUAACUUUGAAUAUGACCCCACUACUUACAUGUUCCUCAAAGAAAGGUUGUUAUGCAGCAUUCUUCAACUAAAUGAUAGCACCCUCCCUCCUUGACCUGUCACUUUAAGAUACCAUACAAACAAAGGAAACCUGUUUAUUAUUGAGCUGCUGAGACAACCUGAAACACUCAAAGCAGAGCCCUGAGCUGAGGCAGUGAUGAUGAUACAGAUUCCAUGUCACAUCCGAGCAGGAAGAGUCCCUCUGAAAUGAGUAGGGUGGACUUUCCCUCACUAUAAAGUAUCUUUCAAGGUCUGUCUGGAGGAGGACAUAACUAUAGAGCCCACACUCCACAGUGUACAACUGUAAUGUCUAACAACUUCCUCCAUUUCUCCUCCUCAUAUUCAGCUAAUUUGAGUCUCCCCGUCUCUCUGCGCUGCUGUGUGCUCUAUACAUCUUCACCCACCAUUCCCUCACAUUUUCACUCAGUGCACUCUCACUCUGGAGGACCUAUACACCGGCAGAUAAGAGGAAAUGAAGUCUCGUCUGCACAAUUUGAAGCGCUGCUUUGAAGCUGAAUGCGAAAUAGCGGCUGCGCUCCUCUCUGCUCCUCUCCGGCUGGUAAAAUAAGGGCCCUCUCGUUAAAAGCACUUUACCUGUGCUCCCUCUAUGGAUCAUUGCUCUCAUUAAACAGAUUUGGGGUUACAUUCAAAUCACAAUUACUCCGAGCACUAACUGUUAAUGGGCACAAGGGUUGAAAGAGUAAGAGAAAUGUUUCUGACAUUUCUUUUUAUUCCUCUCUUUGAGGCGCGAUGAGAACACAUCAAAAAGGUGUAAGGUGAGGCAUAAACCAACCUAAAGCUGAAUGGGGAUUGAUUUCAAAGAUGAGCAAUAUUGAAUUGAGUCUGAAAUCACAUGAAAAAAAGUUAAACUUGACUCUAAAUUUUAAUCAUAUGGGAACACUUACAUAAUUAUUCUAUGUUUAAAUUAUAGAACUUUCUCCUCGGGGUUAACUUCAACUGGAGCAAACUCUUGCCCUUACGUGACCUUUGAGUACUUUCUGUGUGAGUUUUUCUGCACUUCAAGUUGCAACAAAUGUGUGUUUGUUAGUGUGUGUUUGUGUAAGUGUGUGUGUUUGUCUAGGGAGUCUGGUAUAAGAACUAGACGAUAGAGAACAACCCCCCUGGGUCCUACGGCACAAUGCCAAGAAGAGUGCAGGCAAGAGACUUUCAUCCACUCACCACUGAGAUCCUGCGGUGUGUGUGUGUAAGUGAGAGUGUGUGUAUGUGUGUGUGUGUGUGAGUGAGGGUAUACAUUCAUGUGUUUGUUUAGUGUUUGAGUGAACGGUGAGGGAGAGAGAGGGAGAUAUGUCACCUUGGGAUCUGCAAGAAAAGCAAAGAAAUGUCGUUUUUUGCAGAUUCAGCAGCUGUUCUUAAUGUCGCUCUUUAAUCACGUGAAUUUAACAAUGUUUAAAUGACGAUCCACACUUUGCAUCGACUGUUUGUCAGAUCAAGACGAGCCCCCUUCAAAACUAACAGACUUAUUGCCUCCUCGGAGAGUUUCUCUGACUUAAUAACCCGCUGACUGCCUCAGGAAAAGAGAGCUAUAAUAAGAGCGUCAUUAAUGACAAAAAGAAGCAGAAUGCAGAUAUGAUGCAUCUUAGUGUGUGUUUGUGUUUGUGAGUGUGUGUGUGUUUUACAUACAGCACACAGUAUGCACACAGUUUAGCAUUUUGUGUGUAUUUGUGGGCAUGCAUGCGGUUGCACCUUGCUGCUACUUUGUUGCAUGUGUGUGUGUGUGUGUGUGUGUGUAUUUUACUGUAUGUGUGAGGGCCUCUCCUGGUGACUGCCUAGGGCAAAAGCACCGGAUGUAAUCCCAUGUAUGCCUCCAGUCUCUUAGCUGCCUGCGUAGAUGUGGAGGAACGUUUUAGCCCCUGCAGUGUGCCGUAGGGCACGGGUGCUCACCCUCCCGCACUGCUAACAGACAGCAGCUGCCUGCUGCAGCUCCAACACUCGCUUUCAACAUGUGUGUGUGUGUGUGUGUGUGUGUGUGUGUGUGUGUGACUCUCUUUCUACACUCUGCACCCGUAUGACUGGGUUCAAUUUCCAGCAAUGAGAGACGGCUUAAGCAGGGAGAAAUUGACUUUUGACAGCCAUUAUAUUAAAGUAGGCACACUUUCACACAUUAAUAUCAGUGUGAAGAGGUGAAGAGCACUCUCUUGCCUAGAAAUCAAAUCAUCUACUUAAUGUAAAGCCUUAACGGGAUUGGCACUUGGUUGUACAGAAGCUAAGAAGUAUAGAAGGUAAAACAAGCUCAUAGUGGAGCCAAGUGUCGCGUAUUGAUUAUGAAUAAAGUGCAGACUUCCUCAGGGGCUCAAUUCAGGCUCCGUGACAGGCAAUCAAGUUUCAUUUGACGAACAAAUUCAAGGAAACAGACGGACAUGAAAAGCCUUAUGCAGCGAUAUGAAAUCGGAUCACUAACAAAAAAUAGAACAUCAAGGAAAACCAUCGGGGCUUUUUCUUUGUUCUCCAGCUGAUGGUUUUACAGAAUCUAUAAGAAAGAGAUCUGUGUGGUCAUAAAGAUGUUGGUUUAUUAAACUGCAGCAUUACAAUAAUCACAUCAUCUGUAACUGGAUUUGGAAAUCCUCUGCCUAAUGGAGGAAACAAAUGGAAUUGUAAGCUGUGUCUUUAAAAUGUAUCUUCACAAACACGAGACUCCACAUGAUCCCUAGCCUCAUUUAUCCUGGUUCAUUUACAAAUAAAAUACGUCACAUGCUCAGGCUGCUAAAUCGCAGCUUUACUGAUACGCCAAAGUGUGUCAAAAACAGCUCCUGAUUUCUGUUUCUUGACUCUGAGACUAAAAACUCAAUCGAAUACAGAUUUUACUGGUGUGUUUUUUUAUUUUUAGCCUUCUUCUCACCUGUCUGUGUCCUCAUCCUUUCCUCUGGUUAUUAUUCCCAAUGCCUGCCCUCCUGCGGUGCUGAUCGAGAGUUUUGAUGAGCUUCUCAAAAGAGGGCUGAAGGAGAGACAGGUGGUCUUGAUGAUAACUAUCCAUUCACCCUCUUCUAUCUCACCACGCUGCAAUCCUCCGCCAUUGAUCUUACCUCUGAUGUCCACAGCUGCAACAGAACCCAGCAGAAAGGUAGAUCAAUAGGCGUCAUAAUCGAUAGGUCAGGAUGAGGAAUCACUUGAAAGGUCAGCGCCAAUCGAUUCCCACAUUAUUGCACUCUAACCUCUCUGCUGCUGCGUGUCGAUCAUUAACUAUGAAACCCUGCAGGGUGUCGGCUCCCCUGCCUGCUUUUAGCAACAUCAACUAAUCCUGAUUAUUAGUUCCGCUCUGGCUGGAGGGGCAGAUGAUGACUUUUUCUUCAUCUGUGUCUGAUGUGUUAUGGUAUGAUAUCUGCUCGACCCUAACACCUUUGACCUGUCUCUCUGUGAGACCGAUCCUCGUUAGGAGAAAGUCCGCCCGCCCCCUGCUGCACGGAGACGCUGCUAUACAUCCAUCAUUAGUGAGGGACAGUGCUGUGUGUGGCUGCCUGGCCAUAUGGUCUUCAGACCAGCAUUCUUAAACUCUUGGAGAUGAUCUCAGGGGGGCCUCAGGUCUCAAAUCUUAAACCACUCAGCCCAGAGCGAUCCUGAUCAAGUAAAGAGUUCAGCAUAGAUCCACCUGGCCAAAUUUGAUUUUCACCUCUGUCUAGACGCAGGGAAGCAAUGAUGGCGUUUUGACUUGUUUUUAAUGCAGAGUCAUGAGGGUGACAAAAGGAGUUGGCUUACGUAAAGAGGGGUACACACAUAAAGAUAAUCGGGCUGUUUUUGUCCUGAUUUUCCCCCUCCCGACCAAGGACAACAAUCGGAAGGUUAUCUUAUGUCUUCUAAGAUCAUCCUUUAAGAUUAUCCUGUGGUCUGAGGUGUAUUAAGAGUGAAUUUGUACCAAUACUUGGGUCUGAAAUGGGUCAGGGCUGACAAUCAUAAAUAUUAAACUUGUUCAAUAUUUACGACCAAAAAUCUUCAGCCGACGACUCCCGAGUCAUGACUCUGUGAAUAAAGCGAUCAUCACAUAACAUAAUAUUGUAAUAAUCAUACCAGCCAUUAGCUUAAUUUGAGAACAACUCACCUCUAGUUCGUUCAGUAGACUAUAAAGUCCACCUUCACGCUGUCUCCAGGAUUUUUUCCACGGUCUUCCUUUUUUUAGUACCGGAUUUUCCUGUCAAAAAUACUCCCAAAACCACCAUCAUUCCCUCCUCUUGUGUGUCCUCUUCCAUGUUGCGCCAUGUUGUUGCUAUGUUUCUUCUUUGUUUUUGUUUCUAGAUUCUAGAUCGGUGGUGGAACAGAAUCGUUUUGUGUGUGGUGUGCUGUGUUGAGGUUAUCGGGACACACCACACAGAGUACAAUCAAAACUGUUCAAUGUCUGAUUUUUUAUCUUCAUGUGUGGGGUCUGUAACAGAUUAAAAAAAUCUCUUUAGAUUUAAAAAAAUCCUUAUGUGUGUACCCUGCUUAAGUUUUUAUUCUUAACCUUCCUCCUGUGUUAGCUUUUACUACGCACCCACUAUGUUAAGGGUCGGUUUUGACCCGUGUCUUAAAUCAGCUGUAAAUUACACUAAAAACAAUUCUCUAUUAUCCAAUUUGGUUCUCAUCUGUAGGUUACCUUGUUAGGCUUUAUUAUCCAUGAAAAUAUUACUUAUAAUAUUUUUAGUUGUGGGCCUUUGGGUCUUUCUUUGCCAGUAAACCCCCCCCCACACAUACACACACACAUCUAUACUGAACUGAUCUCACAUGUCUGGACAUGUCUGAUGUUUUUUGUGCAGGAGGAAACAUGGCAAAAUGAGAAAAUGAGAAUUUCCUAAAUCUCACAUGAUUGGAAGAGGAUCUGACUGUCAGUGUGGUGCCUGACAGUGCACUUAUGAUUUCAGUUUUUGCUCUGAUUAUUAGAUAUUGAUCUAACCGGGUCAACAGCGACCCUAACACAACAAGUGCCAUGAUUUUGAUAAGAGCAUUUUAUAAUUUAGUCAAUUUAUUUUUUUAUUUUGUUGAGAUAGGGGUUCCUGACAAAGUCAAAAAGUCUUGAUGCAAAAAAAAAGCUAAUUUAAGUCAUUCUUUUAUGCAUUUAAAAUCAAAAACAGGUCGGUGCAGACCCUCACACAGGAGGAGGGUCAAACAGUACAACUUUUUGAUCAUCUCAGAGCCAGUGGACGCAUAAAUCCACAAAAGCCUUGGAAGUUUAGAGUCCCAUGUACACAAAGUUCUCAUACGAUCUGAUAAGGUAGACAUUUUUCAUCCCUGUUAGUAGUAGCCAAGAACAAAGAAAUUGAGAGGCAACACAAUCUCAUAUUUAAAGAAAACAGUCUCAGUUUAAAGGAAAAAUGACUGAGACGGUGCACAAGAAUGCUGAAUAUGCCAAUAUGGCAUUAGUUUCCAAGUUUGUUUGCUAUUACAAAGGAUUUGACUUUUAUUUGACUUUGAUUUCUACCUGCAAACACUGAACAUGAAACACUGUGUAUACUGUAACCCGACAUAAGACAUUAAACAUUAAACUUACACUCAGUGAGGAGAGCGAAGGAAUAAUAAUCAGGACUGUCAGCGCUUUUAUCAAAACGUGAUUGAUGUCUUAAAUUAGCAUGUUACAUUUUUAGACACAUGCUAUUUUGUCCCUUUCAGCACGCUGUAGUUAGGCUAGCGCAGCAUCUUCUUGCCUCUUGCUGCUGCCAUGAUGGAAAAUAGUAACAGCACUCUGCUUUUGAACGGUAUAGUUCACUCUGAAACUCCCCAGCUGACAGGUCAAAAGUAUUAUCAAGCACUUUGCAUCAAAUGGAAUAGAAAUAUCCCAGUAUUAGUUCAAUUUGAGCCACUACCUGUGAGUGAAGCAUACUGGUGCAGCUAACUAGACCUCAGGCCUAAUUAGACUUUUACCAACCUCACGUUCCUGGGUUGUGGCGUGUUUGUUUGAUAAGCAUUUAAUUAAAACGUGCUGCACAAGUACAAGUACGUGCGUGUGUAAAGGUGUUAUCCCUUUAAAAAAACCCAUCAACACUGUACUUUAGAGAAUAAGAGCUCUGAUAAUGUCCCCCGCCUCCAGGUCAGGGAUCAGGCCACACUCAUAAGGCGGUGAAGCGUUUAUUUGAAUGAUAAAUCUACAAGUUACAAUCAUCAUUUCAUGCUUUCGUUUGAUUUCACUGGCUUUAAAUGGCUAUUAUGGACUCAGAAACUUUUACAUGCAAAAUAACACAAUUUCAAAUAUGCUGUUAAAAUUCUGUGAUGAACUACAACUGAAAAAUCAUUUUCAACCUUGUAAAAAUAUUCAUUUUUUUUUGUGUGUGUUUAUGCUUUUACUGCAAAUAGUGUGCAAAAGUGUCAGACUAAGUGAUAAGAUGAGAAAUAUAAAAGUUUGGAAACAAGUUUGAUUUAAAAUUGAAGAAGUGAAGUAUCUGGAGAGAUCUGCAAUAUUUUGUUUAUAAUGGAAUAAGAUGAUAUUGGUUAUAUAUUCCAAAAAUUCUGCAAAUUGAUUCCUUAAAAAAGGUGCAUUUUAGCAUCAGUGAAUCAGCUGUUUAUAAAGUUAUCAUGGUCAGCAGAAGAUUAUUGAUCCCUGCUGAUGAUCUCUAUCAAUUAUUAACGGAGCACAAGUUAAGAUAAGAUAGGAAGAACUUUAUUGAUCACUAAAGGGAAAAUCAAUAGGCAGCUAAUAUUUAGCAUUGUAUUCACAGCUUUGAAACACAUUUGAAAUAACAUGCUGUCGAUAUCAUUAAUGCCCAAUUUCCAGACCUGAACGACUGGAGCGUGUGAGCGUGUUCAUGUCACAUACCAUCGACGAUCAAAAAUGCAAAUAUUCUCAUCAGCUGUGAGUUCGUGUGGGAACUGAAUUCGAUCUUUAAUACAAAUUGAACAAAUUGAAGACUAGACACAGACAUGCAUGUUCACUUCUGAAAAGAGGGCUGCACCGUUGCCAAGCAGAUACACACCUCUUUUCUGACCCUCUAAACCCUUUUUGUCCGGCACCUCUUCCCUGAAAUGGCAUUAGCAUAAAUCACCAGCUCAUAGAGGUAAUGAUGGCGUGAAAUUAUGGCUGCCUCAGCAGACCUUAUUCCCCUCUCUGCCUCUCCCUCCCUCUGGGUCCAAGGCCUCAGCCUUCGUCUGAGACCAUCUCCUACACCUCCUUCUUUCUCUCCUUCCUCCUCCACCCUCUUUCUUCUCCUUUUGCCUCCUGGUUCCAUUCAAAGGGAAUGUGUAACUGAAUUUGAAAUUGAGUGCCCUUCUUUCAAGGACCACAGCUAAUGAGACGUUUUGCCUUGAAAUCCAGGCUGAAAGAGGGGGAGACCCUGAUGGGUGGAGAUGAUAGCCAUCCUGUACAUCAGGUGUAAGGCUGUCCAGAUCUCUCACUGCUUAGGUGGGGAAAGGUUGCUUUCUUUAAGGCUGAGAAAUAAGGAUAAGCCCUUACAGAACGAGCCCACUUGUCUGGGUCACCUGGGGCUGCCAUUGUGAAUCCAAAAGCGGACAUGAAAUAAUACGGCCGUGUGGUCCGCAUCGACACCAGCCGGGCCUCCUUCUUUUGCAUACAUGUAUUAAGAACCAUCUUGUUAAAAAAAAAAGGAGAAGCAUAUAAGGGUCUAGAGAGAGAUAGGAGGUGACAAUUAGAUUGAGAUGGCGGAGCUGGAGUGGGUCAGAGCGAGUCGAGGCAGGAUGGAGAGUGAAGAGACGAAGGAGAGAGUCAAAGAGAUAGAGAAGGGGGUCAGGCCCAUAGAAACAGGUAUACUUGACAGUUUGCGGUCCGGGGAUCAUCCGAGAGACGCCGCAUGGGUGCGAUGAUGAAAGGAAUGGAGAGCUUUGCGUCCUAGGGGUUCUCCCUUUAAUCAGGGGCCCCGAGGAGAGAACCUCACAGCCUAUAUGGGCCCCUGGCCGCUGCUAGCCACUGUCAUGCUAAUGAAAGAGGCUCAGGGUGUGAAUGGAGAGGCUAGCUUGUUACCAGCGUGCUAAUUAAUGCAUGCAGUAGGGGUGUGUGAGAGGGUUUUUAUGCAUUUUAAUGAGGUGUCUGUGUACGUGUGAGAGUGUAUGCGUGUCGGGAUGACAGGGAUUUGAGGUGUGGAGGGAGAUGGAUGUGCGAUCAGGGUUAAAAAUAGGGGCUCAGGAGUGCACAACACAGCAGAUGUAUCUACGAAGAGUGUGGAAAUAAUUUGUAGGGAAUUACCGUGAGUAAAUCUGGCCGAAACAUCAUCCUUCUGCGUAAUGACAAGAUGUUUUAUUAGAUGGAAUAGCUGUCAUGGACUGUGUUGGGGAUAAAUAUUAAAAAGUGUAAAUUCUCUACAUUUCACUGCUAAUUAAAACAGAUCAAGAUCUCAUCUCCAAUUGUUUGUCAAAGCGCACACUGCUAACGCCUCACACGCCGCAAUAGUACGGUCUCUCCAUCACUAUGAGGUGAAAACAAUCAUGUCUGAUUUAUUUUCCCAUGACUAGCUUCAUCCCAUUGACUGCUGUUUAGCGAUGCCCCUGUGUCUGUCAUGUCCCAGACUAUGUGACAAAACACUAUCCUCGGAGAUCUUUUAAGUCUCUGAACCCAGACAACCCUUUCUGUCUACCCCGAGUUCCCACGGACGGAUAGACGGGGCCACUCGUAGAUGUCCACAGGCUGCAGCAUAUGGCCUUAGGCGACGGCAUUGUCUGAGCUGUUUGUCCAAGAUGAACAAACGGCAUUGUUGCACGUGUCACUUCGACAGGACGCAGGGGCGUGUGUCAGCUCAAAGGGAGCGCCAUCAAAGUCUGUGACCUUUUAAUUUGCUGCUGGCCUCUCCCACAGACCUCUGUGUCGGCCAAACAUGCCCCGUUCUGUCAUCCAGGGGACUCAAUCAAUCUUGGCGCUAUUGACAAGAGACGUGUUUGCUGGGUUUGAGUGAUGCAGCCCAGGAAGAAAAUCCAACAGAUUUGUUAUAAAAUGUGGACGUGCUUCAAAUGAUUAUUUUUGGACUGGAGGCUGAUUUAAAUGAGGUUAAACGCUGGGAGGUUGUGUGGCCUGUAAAGAGAAUUACCACAAGGCCUGAAAUGUGACAUUGCCAACUUUGAAGAAUUAAUAUUAUAUUUCAGAGCAUCCACAUGAAUUUCUCCAAGGAUGUGACCCAGUACAAAAUGAUCUGCUUUUCCCAUCAAUCAGCUUAGACGACGCUUGGAGUAUUUUGACAAAAUAUGAAAGCGAAAAAUCAUUUAUGUCGACUGAAUAACAGGGUAAAAUUAAAAGUAGAGGUUUUAUUUACUUAAAAAAGAAGAAGAUAUCCUUCUCUUACCAGCUGAACACACUAUGUGCAUUUCUGUUUCUGUGCAUUUGCAAAGCAGUUACCUCAAUGUGCAGAUUACAGGACAUAUAGGUCACCGUCUCUCCUCACAAGUGCCACACACACUGGAGAUCCUACAUUUUGUUCCACCAGCACUGCCGCCAAUAUCCCAUCCUACCCCCCCAACCUUGUCCGCCCUGUAAAGUGCCAUUAUAAAAAUGUCAAGGGGUCCCUCUCUCUCGUCCUGCCUGUCAAAAUCAUGUGCCAUUAUGCAAAUCAGUGUGUGAACACACACACACUCAUGGAUUUACAUAGGCUAUAUGGGCUAUAGGCGAUGCUGAAUUCAGAUGAUUACCGAAUUAAUCCCGGAGAUACACAUUGCAUAUGUACAUCUAUGAAAAUGAGAGAAUAUUUUACAUUUGCCCUUGGAGGUUAAAACAUUAUCAGUGCAUGUACAUGACAGCUGUGGAUCAGAAGGUAAGCAGCACCAUCGGUAAUCACAGCAGAGUGGGUUCGGUCUCGGACAAUGCGCUGAACCUCAGAUUACUCCUGAUGGCCCGGCUGGUAUCUCACAUGGCGCUCUGUCGUUGACGUGAAUUAAUUAGAAGAAAAAUUCAACAACAUCAGACAAUUCAAAAUAGUUUUAACUUUAUUUUUAUGUCAUCUCUUACCUCUGUUUCUGUCUAAAAGAAGCAUUUGUGUAAAUUAAUCCUUUCUUUUCUAGUAUGCACUGAUAGUAUCGUUUAUUAAUCACGACCUGCUUAUGGACUUUAGAUAAAAAUGACUUUAAAUUGAGCUUUAUUUUUGAACAAAUGAAACAAAAACAAAAGUGUUUAAGUCUUAAGAUCUCUUCAAAGUAAAAGGCAAACAUCUAUCUGAACAUAUCCAAAUCUCUUUGGCCUGCAGUCUGUCAGACACAUGCUUAAAUUUGAAUAUAUUCUCAGAGUUAAGAGGAUUUUCACCACUGAUACUUUUUAUUGAGGAGAUCAUGCUAAAUGGUCCACCGCCAGCACCCCCUUAAAAUUGGGGUUUAAGUGGUUUUUCUCAGUGGCUAUUAGAUAGAAGUGCAUGUGUGAUUUUAUCCUUUUACAUUUCUUAACUUUCUCCUCUUCGGUUGGUCUUAAAUGUACGAAUUACAGCACAUGGAGUGGUUUUGCCUUCCUGAAGAAAUGAGGGAAAGAGGGACGGAAGAGGUGGAAAUAUGUAAUUUUUGGUGGGAAGCAUGAAUGUACCUCAAGUGGAGGUCAACCCUAUAAUGUAACCCAUUGGAGGCAAGAUCAUUAAAGCAAUUUCCUAUGACUUUCACAGUGUUGCUUCGAAAGUAAUGACAGAGGUCCUCCUAUUGAGGGCAAAGGGAAAAGAGUAAUGUGUAGCCUCCUGCCGUACAGAACAUUACAUUACUGAAAAUCAAGACAGGACAGAUCACUUCACUGCUCCAUGACACAUCAGGAUAUCCAUUAUCUGCAGGAAGAACAUAAGAGAGAAAAAAAAGACAGCGAAAGGGAGAGAAAUCAAGAUCAGGCCUUCUGUUUUGACAGCCCUGAACUGGAAUAUUUCUCCAUUGUUUGUUUCUCAGAGCAGAGGAGUCAUGGAUGUGCUUUGAGUGACAGUGAGGCCGAUGCACGCUGACAUGUGGAGCUGCUUCACAUUUCCUCUAAUUGCUCCGCGCUGCCCGAGCUUGGCACACAUGUAGAGCAUGGUAAGAGGCCGUCUUUUUAGGUCAAAACACAGGGUGCUGUGAUUUGGCAUACAAAGAGAAAAAAAAGUCGAGGGGAAGAAGAAGAAGAAGAAGAAGAAGAAGAAGAAAACGAUGAGCAGGGGGAGGAGAAGAAGAGGUGUUCUAUUAUUCCUGAUAGACUCCUCUGAAGGACAGAGAGGUGAUGGCCUUGCUUGUACAACUCUGUGGCAUAAUAAUGUCCUGCAUUAAAUCUCAGGCCAGUUAGAGCAGAGAUGUAGUGCCAGCACACCAGAUAUACGACAUCAGGGAUAUCUACCAAUCAGCUGUCAAUGAUGCGCGCUAUAGGUUUAUGGAAAUAAACAAAUGUAGAAACAAAAGCAGGGGUGUGUGGGCUAUAGUACAGUGUUAUUCAUGGUGUCACUUUUGAUUCACGGUGCGCUGAAAAAAGCUCUGAGAUUGGAGGAAAUCCUUGCAAGGGAGGGGAAAAAGCCUCUAUCCUUGCUGAUGCUAUUUUAAUUAAAUAGUUGCUAGGUUACAUCUUGCAGAACGACAGGGGUGGGUGGUGUGGCAUAGGCGCCUGGGUACAGUGUGUGUGUGUGUGUGUGUGUGUGUAAGAGAGAGAGAGAGAGAGCGAGGGGACAUGUCCCUGAACAAUGAAAGCACAUCCCCUUUUUUUCCACACCCAAUCUGUAAUAAGGGUUUCAAAUGUGAGACAUAUUGACAUGAAAUACAGCGCCAGCGAUUUUACACUCUCUAAAACUCUCUGGCUCUCUCCACAUGUUCGUCUGCCUUUUUUCAUUUUCCUCACACUGAUCAGAGGGUGGAGGGGAAGCCCCCUUUUCAUCUCCGUGACACCACUUUUCACCACCUCUGGUGACUUAGACCGACGAUUGGUGCUUCCACUGCACCCUGGGAUGCCAGACGAUGGAAGAUGCCAUGGCCCCUGCGUGCCCUGGCAACCGCUCCUCAAGCCUGGUCCCUCCCCGACACACACACACACACACACACACACCUCCUCCUCUUCCAGACUCUUCUUGCACUCUUGACUUCCAACCUCCACCCAGGACUCUGACCACUCUAAACCCCAGAGUGGGCACUGAUGGAUGGGCCUGGAGACAGCAGAGAGUCCCUUGAUGUUGGAAAUAAAUCUGACAGGCCCUACUGGAUAAGGCCGAGCAUAAUCUGUCUCAUUGACUUCAUGCUGAAGGGUGUAUAUGAGCGUGUGUAUAUGAGCGUGUGUAUAUAUGUGUGUGUGUGUGCAUGGGUUUGUCCUUUCUCUCCGCUCUCUCUUUUCUUUAUUUCUUACACCCUCCCUCUCUCUCUCUCUCUCCAUGCCAGCUGAGAUAAUGCCAUAAUUUACAGCUAUGCAUUGCAGAAGAUGAAUGAUAGUUGCUUUUCUUGCUUAAUAUGCAUUCACCACGACCAGAUAAUAGUCUUUUUGUAGGAGGAAUAAAAGAAAUACCUUCAAAAGGAAUUGAGCAUUUUUAUGUUAUAUUCUCCCUGUAAUGUGCUAAAAGUGAUAUAUAAUUCUCAGUCUUUCAUUAGAAACAGAAUUGAUAAUGAUGAAAGUGUGCUAUGCCUUCUCUUUUUUAUUAUCUCCUGUGAAAUAUUGCAAGGGGGAAAAAAAGUUAGCUUUUCAGCUUCCCCUCCUAUAGUCUCCUGAGUGUAUAUGGAGCCAGCUUAUAACACACAUGCAGACACACACACACUCAUAAUAAUGCAAGCGUCUUCUGCAAAAACAUCUCCUCCUCUUGAUGCAUCUACGACAUAAAUAUGUAUUCGAUGUCUCAGUCACAAACAGCUAUUUCUCUUCUUGCAUUCUCCCACAGCAAAGGAUGUGUUGUAGAAGAUUUGGGAGCUGCAGUGUGUGUGUGUGUUCCUGCGCCAAAAGAGAACCUCAGGGGCCAAAUGUCCAUGCAGAGGGCCGGCUUCCCUCGGGACUCCUCCAAAUUGACUCCGGUGACCUGUCGGCCCUCCUCGGUGGUUGGCGUGUGCUCCAGCGGGUCGUGGAGAAAGGUCAGGGGUCAUUGGAAGCAACAUGGUGUCAAUAUGUGACCUUUCAAUAAGACAAAUAGGAUCAAACGGUGAAUUAACUCUCAGGACAAAAUCUCAUUUCGAACCUGGGUGAAGAGGACUGACAAGGUGACAGAUUUUGAGGAGAUCAAGUGCAAUUAUUCAGAUCACGUGUUUGCUCUUUUAGCGCUAACUCAACCCUUACCUCCCCUAAAGAAAGAUAAAAAUUCUUGUUAUUUUAUCAAAGUGUAAGAAAAUAGAUUAAUAUUGACAUUAAUAAUUGUGUGUUGAAUGCCUUUAUUUUUAGUACAAACCCAAAUCAAGGUGGUCAUAAUUGUAACUCAGUCAAACACAAACUUUCUGCUCUGUGUUUUAACAUUCUUCUCAUCAUUUCGAUCCAACAUAUACACACACUGCAUGUAUAUUAAUAAUACCAGAGCUGAGCUACAAGCUAACAGCGAGAAUUGGAAUAAAUUUCUCCCUCCAUCCUGAGUAAUGUUCCAAAUUUUCCGCCUUCAUUCCAAUCAGUUUAACAUUUCCUGAAUGCAGCGCAGAGUUACAUUGUGUUAAUUAGAACCACGGGCUGGCUUUACAACAAUGUGUGGGAGGACCUGGAGGUUGAAGUGCUCCGUGCAUGCAAUGUGCAUCAUCAGCCUAAUGAAAUAUAACUCUGAAAAUUAAGUCAGCUGCACCUGAGGCACGCAGAACAACAGGAUCCCUGAAGCCAAACCAUGCAGGCUUUAGCUGUGUAUGAUGUGAGUGUGUGUGUGGAUAUGUGUGUGUUUAUAUAAGUAUAUUUGCCAGAGCGUGGAACCACAAAGGAAGCAAUUAUAUUUGUUACUGUAUUAAUUCUUUCUUCAGAGUAGAAAGGAGAAGAAACACUGCAGAGAAAAUGUGAUGGAGGCUGCAGCUGCUUUUUGUCCUAGUUCGAGCUCCUCAUUCGCCAAAGUGCAUCAAAGUGUCAGCAAUUCAAACAUGAAAAAUGGAUGAAGACAAUGGUGCAUUUCUCUCAAAUUUUCUAAUAAACUGUCAAUCAAACUGCUCUUUGAAUGACACUAAUAUCACAUGAUGCAGCAUCCCGUAUCAAAGAUCUCAUCGAUGCUCGUUCCCCCCUUUGGCUGGAUGUGAGGCCUGUCCUCCCCUCUUAUUAUCACCAUCAUCAUUCGGACAUGAAAGGAGAGAAACAAGUGCCGCACCAUUGCCAAGGAGAAACCUUGAUCUCCCAGCAUUUGCAUUCGCCACCUUGUUCGACUGGAUGUAUGAACGCGUUAGCAAGGCGCUCUCUGAUUGGAUGGCACUGAAAAGCUGGCAUUCUGCUAAUGCUCAAAGCAGGCGGCAGGCUCUCUCCCCCUCCCCCCCUCUGUAACGCUGUCACACUCAGCUGGUGGCACUAGGGGGCAGCCCACUCUGAGGGUUGUUAGGCAGCAAGAGAAGGAUUAUUAUCAGGUGAAACAGGACACAGAAAGAGUUUAAAAAUAUAUAUUUAAGUCAUUAAUUCAUUCAUGUUGAUCUCUUUAAAAACCCAUUAGGUGUCAGUGAGCUUAGAGUCCUCCUUUUCACAAUAAAAGACAGUUGUCUGUGUUAGGCAGCGCCGCUUUCACUAAUUAAUUUGGACUGUACCAUUAAUUUAUUAAAGAGUAUCAUCAGUUUUUGUGUAAAUCAUGGAUAAAUGACUCUGUAUGGAAUAAGCUUGUCCCAGUGGGUGACACGCUGCACAAGCAAAAUGUAAAGCCUAGUUGAUCUAUAUUCUCAUAGCAACACAUGAGCAAUUGAUACUAAUAUAUAUGAAUGCUCCUAUAAAAAAUUAGGCAGGCCAGUGUGUCAUAAUUCACCCUCUUUGACUGUAGAAUGCUUGAGCGAAUGAAAAACUACAUCCUUUAACAAUACUUUAAAAAUUAAUUUCCAAUAACGUUAAAAAAAGGCCAAGAUGUAUCGGGAAAAUGACGCUGCGUGUGAUCUGUGUUGAAUUAAAAAUGAGGUGGAGAAUUGAGGCUGUUGGUUUACAUUAAGAGUCAAAGAGAAGCAAUUAAUUUCAGCACUAAAUACGAGGACUCACGCUCACACACACAGACACACACUUUGAAGGAGCUAUAUUGUAGCAGUGUGUCCCUGCCUAUCAGGACGCUGCUGAUUAAAGGCCAACCAAAAUGAAGCUUUGAACCCUCAAAGGAGCCAUGUUCAUCUGGAGAUGAAUGAAUGUAAGAGCAGCGGUGAUUAGCACAAAGGGCAGUCAGCCAUUUCUUAUUUCUUGCAUGAGGAAGUGGACUUAAAAUUUGAAACACGGCGAGAUUUGAACUCACCUAGCCUGGAGAUUAUCUCUGCCCUCAUUUUGCCAUGUUGUCUGGUUUGCACCGACAACGAACUUGUGCUUGCUUGGCUCAAUUAGGGAAUUAGACGUCAUACAUGGGUUUAAAAACAACAAUGUAAAACGAAUGCAGGUAAGUAAAUGAUGGAUUAUAGGUUGAUCCAUCACAAUGCUUCAUUUUCUAAAAUGUUGUCUGUGUUGUGAUUGGCUUCUUGUGAUUUAUUUUACAAUGGAUGAGACACUUUAAUCUGUUCAGAUACAGUUAAAAAUGCCCCAAAACAUACCCUUUAUUUUUACUUUAUUCAAGUAACCUCUGUAUUUCUUAUCUCAAUGCAAUGUAAUGUCUUUAUUUCUCUGAGUGUUACUUAAUUGCAGCAUAAAUAUGAUGUGAAUUGUUCCUAAAUGUACCGCCUGUCAGUAAACUAUUAAUAAAACGAUUUGAAUUUUUCA